CGCUGGCGGCGUGCCUAAUACAUGCAAGCUCGAGCGAACCCUUCGGGGUUAGCGGCGGACGGGUGAGUAACACGUGGGUAACCUGCCUAUAAGACUGGGAUAACUUCGGGAAACCGUAGCUAAUACCGGAUAUAUUUUUGGUUCACAUGAACCGAAAUGGAAAGGCGGCUUUUGCCGUCACUUAUAGAUGGACCCGCGGCGCAUUAGCUAGUUGGUGAGGUAACGGCUCACCAAGGCGACGAUGCGUAGCCGACCUGAGAGGGUGAUCGGCCACACUGGGACUGAGACACGGCCCAGACUCCUACGGGAGGCAGCAGUAGGGAAUCUUCGGCAAUGGGCGAAAGCCUGACCGAGCAACGCCGCGUGAGCGAUGAAGGCCUUCGGGUCGUAAAGCUCUGUUGUUAGGGAAGAACAAGUAUCAGUUAAAUAAGCUGGUACCUUGACGGUACCUAACGAGAAAGCCACGGCUAACUACGUGCCAGCAGCCGCGG
rnacentral:rRNA from 1 species